UACAGGGGGUGCAAACGUUGCUCGGAAUCAUUGGGCGUAAAGCGCACGUAGGCGGUCUGUUAUGUCGGAUGUGAAAGCCCUCGGCUCAACUGAGGACGUGCAUCCGAAACUGGCGAGCUUGAGUACUGAAGAGGAUCGCGGAAUUCCCGGUGUAGAGGUGAAAUUCGUAGAUAUCGGGAGGAACACCAGUGGCGAAGGCGGCGAUCUGGGCAGAUACUGACGCUGAGGUGCGAAAGCGUGGGGAGCAAACAGG
rnacentral:rRNA from 1 species